rnacentral:miRNA from 1 species
CCCCAGAUGUUGCUGAACUACAACUCCCAUAAUUCUCUAUGUAAUUCAAAGAAUCAUGGGAGUUGUAGUUCAGCAACAUCUGGGG